rnacentral:rRNA from 1 species
CACGCAGGCGGUCUGUUAAGUCAGAUGUGAAAUCCCCGGGCUCAACCUGGGAACUGCAUUUGAAACUGGCAGGCUUGAGUCUUGUAGGAGGGGGGUAGAAUUCCAGGUGUAGCGGUGAAAUGCGUAGAGAUCUGGAGGAAUACCGGUGGCGAAGGCGGCCCCCUGGACGAAGACUGACGCUCAGGUGCGAAAGCGUGGGGAAGCAAACA